AAGUCGUAACAAGGUUUCCGUAGGUGAACCUGCGGAAGGAUCAUCAUUGAAUCUAUAUCUAUAAACCCUUGUGAAUCGUAUGCUUUAGAGUGUGUUUGGCAGGAAGUGCUGAGGCACAGUUGCUGCCCCAGUGCGUGUCCCGCGCUUGUGCUUGCACAGCGUUGGGUGCCUGCCAACACGCUCGUCUUUGAACAAACUUGUUUAAUCAUUCACUGAUACAAACACAUUUAAUUAAAACAACUUUCAACAAUGGAUCUCUUGGCUCUC
rnacentral:misc_RNA from 1 species